CAUGUAAAAACGUACCCUGACUACGUUGGUCCAAUUUGCAAAACGUAGAGGGGUUACAAUAAUGGCCCUAGAAUUGUAUGACUGUUACAUUUUUUUUCGCCUAUUCUUUUAAUGGCCCUUGAAUUGUAUGACUCUUACGUUUUUUUUUUUCGUCCAAGUCACGUGACUUUCAAGCUACCGGCCGUGAGAACAAAAAACAUGGCGGACAUUCUCUCAUGUUUAGUGGAAAAAUCUAUAUUUUGAGUUAGUUUCUGAAUAAAAAGAAGUUUUGAUUACAUUUCUAGCGAGAAAUAUAUAUUUUAUUUUCAUAAUAUUCACUCAGUGAAUUUACAUAAUCAUCGCUUGCUCGAUUUUACGCAGAUUUUUCAGAUCUCGCCAGAAUAAUGUGAAACUGAUACGUUUUGGUUGCUAUGGACACUGCCAGGGCUCGUCACAUGACGUCUUUAAAAAAGACUUUAUUAAAACCGCGUUCAGCUACAGGUAAAACAACAUUCAGAGGUGAUUUUAACAACGCUCCACGGCGCGUGAGAGUAAGCAUUUUAAGCGUUUUCUGAUCAUGUAGGUAAGUGCUUUUAUUAGACGUGAUGCAUGCUGGGUGGGAAAUUAUUUUUUAUCAAAGACUCGUUGAUGGUAAUUAAUAUAGAUAUGAAUAUACAUUUUGCAACCCUGUAUCACAUGAAAUACGUUCUGAGGAAACUAUUUUGCAAAUCGCAAUUACGUUACAUGCCAACAUAUAAGCAGUGCUAUUACGUUGGUCCUUAACCUAAUAUGACCCGUCGCCAUGGACACAAGGGGUCGGAUAUCUAAAGUUAAAUAUUUUUAACUUACGCGUGAAAUGGUUGAUUUUAAAAAUAUAUAUAUUCUAAGUAAACAACAACAGCCCAGGUUUAGUAAACAUUUUUUUUAUUGAAACUAUAAAUAAAUAUUCUGCAUCCAUUUUAGGUGUGCCACUGUGGGUGGCUCCCGCACACCCCCGUGGCUACGCCCCUGCCGUGACCCAAAUCUCGUUCUCACAUCAUCGCGAUGUUUAUCAUCUAUUUACAAACGUAGCCAGUCGCCUCAUCUUUUUUCUUCACAUACAUCUCAUACUCCUCCAUCUACACGCUCCACAACAUUUAAACCAACGGUUUUGACCAGUUAUGUCAGGAAGCUGCAACUAUUUCAAAGCAUCUUGAAAUGAAAGCUGACAAUGCUGAACUUGAAGCAGCUACCAGGGAGGCUGAAGAAAUUCUACAAAUGUUUAAUCCUCCACUGCUGAAAAAGAAGACCAAACGAGCGAUUUCCUGGACUCAACAGACACAGUGAACUUUGAACUGCAUUUCAAAGCCAGCUUCUCAGCCGCAACACCGAGAACCAGAGUUGAAGUCAAUGUACUGCUGAGAAAGUGCAAGAUCUAUUUAACCAAAAAUAUAAGGAUGCCGGAGGUACUGGAAGGCUCCCCUACCAAUCCCUGGUAAAUCAAGGCAUGACAGUUAAAGUUGCAGGACUGCCCAACAGCCUCAAAAAACCAUCCUAUUAUGGAAGGAACCAGUUGGAGGCCAUUUUGCAAGCUGCUGAGGAGAUUUUAUUUGAAAUCAAUGCAGCACAAUGCAACUCCACUGACAAAGCAGAAGGAAUGUCAGAGGCGAUGGACGCAGAAGAGCUGGAAGAACAGUCCUCAGAAACAGCCACUACUGUAGCUAUCGUGAUGACUGCAGAUUAAGAUGGAGACAAUUUGUGCUGUGUCUGCCGCAUCCUUUUCGAUGACAGGAAGAAGAAUGCUUCAGAGAAGUGGCGUUCAUGGUCACAGUGCACAGUGUGCCAAUCAUGGUCACACACUGCAUGUCAAGACACAAUGCAAACUUUGAGUUGUUUUUAUUUUGUUCAUGACCCCAUCCCUACAAACACACACACAUAUUUUUUUUAUUUUUAUGUAUUAGGUGCAAUUUAAUAUUUUUCAUGCAAAUGUAUUGCAAUGAUUACACUUAUAAGAAUAAAACAGAUUUUUAAUUCACUCUAA